AUUUUAUCCGACUAGAUCCUGCGCGCCCGACCUAAAACAGAGACGGCACAGUUGCGGUCAAACCGUCGGACCCGCAGGUUACGCGGUCGCAACUAAAUUCAGAUUUUUCACCCCGAGGAUUCAAUUUUCUUCCGCGUGUGAUGUACGUACAAAACGACUCGUUUCUCAUCGACACGGUGAGGAGAGGAGAAGAUGGAAGAGAUGGAGGCGAGGAUAUUUGAGGGAGGGAAGCAGAAAAUAUAAAAUUCUGGAUUCCCUGAGAAAAAAUUCGUUCUCCAGUUUUUCAUCCGUUCAAAUUUUUUAUUCCUUGGCGUACGUUUCGACUGUAAGCACAUCGCAUCCUGUCCCCACGGCAACCGAUGUGAAGUAAAAUGCUGCUAUUGCUUCAAGAGGAGGUGGUAUACGUGGGUGGGUAUGCCUGCACCGGGUCGUACGUGCGUACGCUAAUAACGGAAGUUUCGAGGUCAUUUCUGAAAGGAAAGAGUAGAAAAAAAAAAGGAGUAGAAGUGGAAGGAAAAAAAUGAAACAUUUAAAUAAAUAAAUGUAGGAGCGAAAAAGCAAAAUUAUUUCACGAAACGUAUAUCACGUUAUCCGUACGUACGUACGAGAUUGCAGAUUCCGUGGAGAGGAAGAGGGACUGUGGAAGUAUUGAGAAUGAAAAACGCGAAAAGAGAAAGCUAGGGAGGUACGAUUCUUCGAGAUAUAAAAGUGGCGGUGGUAUGUGGGUAUAUAAUCCUGCCGGGCACUGUAAUGUUCGGGUCAAAUUGUCGCAUGUCUUCUUCAUCCGCCCCAUGGGAUGACGGGGGGACGUUAUAAGAGAAGGUCGUCUAGCAGACGACGACGGAGGCGACUAUAAGGAUAGCGUUUCACCGCGACGUGGCCACGGAUAGGACUCGCGUCGGACCAAAGUAGAGAGUAAAGGAAGAUACUAAGGAAAAGGAACUACCUCAUCCGUACACUUCUCAUCGUUCGUUCUUACGGACCUACCUACCUACCUACCUACCUACCUACCUACCUUCGCUUCGCGGUGGAGUUUCAGUGUUCUCUCGAGUCGCCGUUGGAAGAACUCUCUGUGGCAGUGUCAGUGACCGGAGUAUGACCCCUGCCAGGAUCCCUGGGCACCACCUCUACUCUCUGACUUCAACUAUAUCUAUAGUACUUUACCGCUUUAAACUCACUGGUCUUCUCUCCCCUUAUAUUCUUAUUCUCAUUCCUAUUCCUGUCCACGUGUACAAUGAUUAUUACCGCGAGGACUUACGGGAACCGGAAGUCCAUGCAUCCUUAAUCAUUGAAAUUUCUCUCCGUCGUGAUUCCUUCCAGCUGAAGAAACCAGAGGAGAAACUGUCCCGAAAAAAAACCAAGCUUCCGAAAUCUCGAAUCCUUCGUACCAUGGUCGAGGGAAAAAAUAUAUAUAUAUAUAUCUUCGAGAGAUUCGAAGGUUUUCCGAUAUAAUUUUCUUCUCUCUGCGAAGCGCGAUCGCCUUCGUGUCAUUUUUCUGUCUUCCUCCGUCUCUCUCUUUUUUUUUUUUUAUUUCUGUUCCAUCUUCAGUUUAUUUAUUUUUAUUUGUACGCGCGAGAGAGGAGUUACUUUCCCAGGUUUCUUUCCCAGUCCCAUUUCUUUUUACUUAUUGUAUUUCACCUUUUAGUUUCUAUUCUUCUUCCACGCGUACAAUACAGCUCGGAAAGACUACCCGGUAGAAGAAACGGCGGUUCGUCGUUGUCUCGAGUGUCGCAUCUAGCCGAAGGAAGAGUCGAGUCGCUGACGAUGCCCCUCCGGGGUCGUUUCGUCGAGUCGUUCAUAUCCCACCAGUACGACGGCAUCAACGAAAUACGUAUGUAACGUUGUAACGGAAUAUGAGGUAAAAACAUAGAAAAAAAAAAAAAAUUGUAACUAUAACUUCUGCUAGGAAACUAACUACCCCUUUACCUCCUCACCCUUUACUUUGUUCCCUAUUUUAUUUCACUCCGUUCUAUUUGAUUUAUAUUUUCUGUUUCCUUCUAUGUUAUUCCUUCAAGAAAUCACAUCGUGAUCAAUUGAAUUAGAUUCGCUCUAUAGGGAUAUCAUCUUGAGAAACCCUUGAGAAGAUUUUCUAGCGUCCAUUGCCCGAUUGAAUCUGUUAUAUAAUAUUAUAUUCUACAUCAAGAGCCAACCAUCGACCCGCGACGAAGGUAUUCAAAUAUUUUACAGGAGCAUUCGAAAAUCAUAAAGGUUUACAAUCGGUAUCGAUAGAUUUCAAAUUUUGCGAUGUCAUAAUUCAGAUUAAUCGACGUUGAAAAUUUUUUCUUCGCAUCAAGAGGAUCGAUGGGAUUUGGAUACCGCGGCUAGGCCUGAAUCCUUGCUCUGCCCGUUAAUUUUAUUUAGGGUGAGCAAAGUUUCAGGUGUGUCCGCGGUAUUCGACUUUACCACAUCGCAUCGCAUCGGAAUCGAGAGGGAAGAACGUGAGAUUUAAAAGAAAAAAAAAAUAAAGCGACAAGUGGUCACUCGUGCACCGUUUGUAUUUUCGUUAUUUUUCAGUACCGUAAAAGACGAGAGAUUGAAAAACGAAAGGAGUGCGGAAGAAAGGAGAGAAGGGCGACGAGUCAAAGACACGCGAUUUCCGGUCAGACGGUCUUAAAACUAAAAGCGUGGUUUUAUAUCUGUGACGCAUAAAUGUUUGAAGUCUCCAUUUGUCGCCGAAUGUCUCAGUGAAACGUACGAGUAUUUCUUUAUUUUCUCGACUUUUUCUUUAAACUUUUAGUAAAUCAACUUCGUCGAAACUUCUUUUUGUCACCGUUAAGUCGAAUUGAAAACAACGAGUCGAAUUAUAUCUGUACGUUAUUAUAACAAGAGAGCGGAAACGACUUCCUAGACAAUUGGGGCUCACUCGUGAUCGCUGGAGCGUGUAACGUUCUUCCGGUACCGUAAUCGACUAAAUACAGCAACAGGGUGACGCGACGGGUCAAGGAGACGCGAGGCUUGUCGCUAAAACUAAAAACUAUGUAUGUAGAUACGAAUAUACUUAUUUAUAACAUGAAAUUAGUAAUCUCCGAACCGUGAACCGUGAAAACGAUCGGUAAACGAUCCAAUGUAUAUCGCACUAAUGGGAGGAAGUUCAGUCAGAGUUUUCAUUAAUAGAUGUCCAUUAUGUUAUUAUUAUAUUUUAUUCUAUUACUUAUUCGUACUUUUUUUAUUAUCCGUGCAUUCUCGUCGUUCGACAUUUGAAUAAUACCGGUAUAAAUCUAACCCGUAUCUGAAGAGAAGAAAAAAAUGAAACGAAUUAAAUGACGAAAGCUUCGCGAAUAAAUCUUUCAACUUAUAAAAUCGUAAAGUAAUUGUUGAUAAAAAUGAGUAAAUAGAAAAAAAGAGCCAUUGGUUUUUUGUUUGAAAUUUACCAUCCGUCCGUGUGGAUGAAAAAUAAUCCGAUGGAACGAUAAAGCUGGAAUGGAGGUAAUUUUUUUUUUUUUUUUCAACGGAAAGAGAACCGAGCUACUGGAGUUGGGAUUAAAUAGGACGAAGAAGAUUUAUAAUCUACUUGCGAUUCACGAUCCGUUAUGAAACAGCUAUAUUUCCAUGAAGAGACGGCCUGCAGGAAGAAGAAGUAUAAAUGUUAAAAUCGCAUCGGAUCAUCUACCGAAAUCAAUUUCGGUAAAUAAACUCGAUUUUUACUCUUACGCCUGAAAUUUGCUUUUGACCUGGAUAAAAAAAGAAGAAUCCUCGUUUAUUGAGAAUUAUAAAAAAAAAAAAAAAACAAAAAAAACAUAUGAAUGUAAAAAGGUGAGCAAAGUUUCAGGUGUGUGAGUUACUCGAGAUCAACGAUCUACAAAAUUUACGUGCAAAACUAUUUUACAAAUAUAGUUUUAUUGCAGUUUUUUUUCCCAUGCAUUUAAUUUAGGAUCUGCGAAUUGCAAUUGACAAAACAAUUGUAAUUGUACGAACUGUGUAUCAGGUUAGUAUAAGCUGUUAUCAAACAUUAGGCUUUAUUUUUUGCAAGUCUUUUCAUGAAAAUCUUUUUUUUACCUAUGAGUACGAUGGAAAAUUAAUUGCUUUUAUACCGAAUGACUAAUUGCUUAUUUUCAGAUAAAAGAAGCGAAUUUGUGAAUGAUUUUAGUGCGUACGUCCCAACAAAUUUAGAUCUCGUAUUCACCUCUAGGAGCAGCACCUUAUGGAAGUUACGAUAUACAUAUAAUAUCCUGUAUACAUUUAUUUUUUAAGAACUAUAAAAUUAAUUAUUUGAUGGUAAUCAAAAUAAUAGUAUCAUUCACGCUAUCAUAACUCAUUAUAAAUAUAUAGAAAUAACUUAAACUAGUCAUGUUUGGGCCAAAAAUGUAUUGUGGUAUCAGGGAAACAUGACAGGCGCGAAGGUGUUCCGAGACAUCUGAUCAUGUGCAUGCAUAUAUGCCUCAUCAUAUCGUAUGGAAAACCAAAGAAUAAUUUAGUAACACAAAAGGAGGAAAGACGGAUCCUUGGCGUGGUGUUUGUAGAUUUUUCUUCGUUGAUCGUUAGAUACAGGAAUACAUUCAUAAAAAAUACGCUAAUCGCGAGUAGAUUGUUUAGAAAAAAAUCCUUACGAACGCUCUUAUAUUUUAUUUUCUUUUUAUGCAUCUAUUACUUCAGAUUCCUAUUCACAUGUUUAAGUGAUAAUGUUGAUCGAAAGGUAAUUUCUUUGUUACACUUCAGUGGAAGCCUGAUUAAAGCUGGAGCAAGAUGAGCUGUGCGAAGCCUUGAGAGACUGAAAAAAGAAGCACACGUCUGCUGGGUGAUCAUAAAAUUAGUGAGAAAAAUUGUUCAAUUCACGCAGAACAAGGGAAAUUUGUAUAGUGAGCCUCAUAUUUGUCAAGGAUUGUAUUUAUCAAUUCAUUUUUAGAAUGGCAUUGAAUUUGUGGAGAAAAAUUUCUGCGAUAGGUUCACGUACCUCAAGUGCAAUAAAUUGCACAGUUAAAUAACGCGAGUUAUGCAUUUUGAAUUUCGUGACAUCGGAAAUCGGAAUAACUAUUCUUGUGUAUCUGAGGCUUGGGAUUUCGAGACAGCAAACUAAUCAAUCUAUCCAUUGAAAUUAUGAAAUUAUGGCUCAUUUAUCGCUUUGCACGGCACGAAAUUGUCGACAGAUCUUUAUUCCAAAUUUUGAAAAAUAUCCGAGGCUCACUCACCUCCGUUCGACUCUCUUUUUCAGGAGAUGAACAUACAACCUACAAAGCAGUCUGGCCUUUCGUCGGGAAUACAACAGUGUACUCGGAGCAUCUACAGAACCUAUCAUAUGUUCGGUGCGGAAUACUUGUAUAAAUGAGUUGAGCAUUUUUUAGUUUGCAAGAACUAUUAUAUCAUUAUUACAAUGUUGAUAGGAAUAGAGGUAUAGUUCCAAUUACUUAUGGAAAUGAGUUAUGAUAUACAUGUGAACAUACUGUGUACAUUUUGAUUGCUGAAUAAGAGGUAUCGAAUUAUU